UUGGGUUAAGUCCCGCAACGAGCGCAACCCUUACCUCUAGUUGCCAUCAGGUUGGGCUGGGCACUCUAGAGGGACUGCCGGUGACAAGCCGGAGGAAGGUGGGGAUGACGUCAAGUCCUCAUGGCCCUUACGGGCUGGGCUACACACGUGCUACAAUGGUGGUGACAGUGGGCAGCGAAGGGGCGACCUGGAGCUAAUCCCCAAAAGCCACCUCAGUUCGGAUUGCAGGCUGCAACUCGCCUGCAUGAAGGUGGAAUCGCUAGUAAUCGCGGAUCAGCACGCCGCGGUGAAUACGUUCCCGGGCCUUGUACACACCGCCCGUCACACCAUGGGAGUUGGCUCUACCCGAAGCCGGUGGGCGAACCCGCAAGGGGCGCAGCCGUCCACGGUCGGGUCANCGACUGGGGUGAAGUCGUAACANGGUNACCA
rnacentral:rRNA from 1 species